rnacentral:lncRNA from 1 species
UUGGUCUAUGGACAUGUCACGUGGAUCAAGCAUCAGAUACCGUCAGAUACUUCCAGAUCCAACAGCCCACACCCCUCAUCCUCUCACCCACCCACCGUGAGCUCCUCUCUCUCUCCCCGCGGAGCAAACCCUAGCCCAUCUCUCCCCCGCACACCCCUCCUCCUCCCUUCCAGAUCGCAGCCGCCACCUCCUCCCUUCCAGAUUGCCGCCACCACCUCCCUCCCGCGGAGCUCCCCGCCAUACAUGGCCUCCCCCACACCCUCCUCCUCUCUCCCAUCCCCUUCACUCACCGUGAGCCCUUCUCCCUCGCGAGCCCUCUCUCUAUCCCUCCCGCGACUCCUCUGCUCCACCCGAUUCCGGCGAGUUGAGGUGGGAUCUGCCACAUCCGGCAACGGCGAGGCCAGAGGUGGCCAGAUCUGACACCGGUAAGCCCCUCCCGUCCAGGCUCGCCCGGUACCUCGACCCCGACGCAUCUUUGGACAAGGUAUGCAUGCCACUGCCACCGCCGCCGCGUAUCCUAACGACUUCGUGGGGUUCUGAUAGGUUCGGUGUUUGUUCUUGGUUUAAAGGACAAGUUGUUGGAUGCGGUGCACUGGAUCCGGCAGGCGGUGGGGAUCGCCCGCGGCCUAGUCUGGGGCGUCGUCCCCCUUGUCGGUGCCUUCUGGAUCGCCCUGUCAGUCCCUCCUCCCUCCCCGCUUCCUCAAAGCCACCAUCUUUGUUUUCUUUCCCUUCAUACGCACCGUAGAUGGGGCACGGUACAGUACUAAUUAAGGUUCAUAGUUAACUGAAUUCACGAAUUCAUCUUACACCGAAUUUAGGAUCUCUCUACCAUCGUGCGGUACAGCAUUAGCGACUCAUCAGUAGAUGAGCCUAGCGAUAUCUAUUAGAUGCCUGAUUUAAGAAGGCCACUUUGUUCAGUCUGAGGAGGUAAAGUGAGUGUUAGAUUCACUCUGCAUUGGAGGUUCGUUCGGGUCGUCUCAGUACUGUCCAGUGGCCACCAACUCAUCAACGAUCAUUGGGGUGGUUCUUCACUUUGUCUGGUAUUAGAUGCGACAUGGGUUGUUUAAUCAGCUCUUUGUUUUGUGUGGCCGACAAAAAACCAACACAAUUACCGCAUAUGUACACUGGGAUGCCAUCUGCUCUUAGUUUAUGUGUGCUCAUUAGUUGAAUAAACUGGCAAAGGACUGCUAAUGUAUGAUUGGAUGGUUUUGCUCGUUUUUCUAGAGUUCCUUGGAGAGAUUAGCAUUCUCAAACAAAAUGUGAGGUGCCCUUUAUUCAGUCCAUGAGAGUAUAUGUACUUGCUUGUGGUGCAAAAUUGCAUUCUGAGUGAUGAAUUUCCAUAUUCCCUAUCUUUGCUAAACAGUCGAGCAUUUUUUGUAUGCAAACACUUAAAACCAUGGCUCUACAUUUAUCAAGUUAUCAGGUUGCCUCCUAACUAGCAACCGCUACACGCACAUAAAACUAGCACUAUCACGUGAUUCUACUUUUUCAGUAGGAGCUGUCAAACAAAAAACACAAUCUUGUAACAUUGAAUGAACUCUUUUAAGUUCUUGUGUCUUCCUGAUUGCACACUGAAUAAAUUGGGCAUCAUCAAUUACUAACAGAUUCUUCUCUCGGUUGCAGCUUUCACGGACUCUAGUUUACAGCUUGGCUCACUUCUGAGAAGCCCGUCUACAGAACUAUGAUGCUGGAUAUUCGCAGUUUAUUUCAUUCACUCUUUUGUGCAAUUAGCUAUCAUGGAUGCAAUAUCAUAGUAUUAUAGAACAACGUCAUGGAGUUGUACAAUAACUUAUUGUGUUAUGUAAACUUGGAAGAUGUAUUAUGUGAUGUUAUAUGAUGGAUGAUUUUAAUUCGACUUGGAGUUUUCUUGAUUUGAAUAUGAAAUAGUGUUGGAUUUAAUACUCGACAAAUAAUUAGGCUGGAAAGGAC